GGACGCAUAGCUCAGCUGGUUAGAGCGCUACCUUCACACGGUAGAGGUCUGAGGUUCGAGUCCUCAUGCGUCCACCA
rnacentral:tRNA from 1 species